rnacentral:rRNA from 1 species
GAUGAACGCUGGCGACGUGCCUAAUACAUGCAAGUCGAGCGAACGGACGAGAAGCUUGCUUCUCUGAUGUUAGCGGCGGACGGGUAAGUAACACGUGGAUAACCUACCUAUAAGACUGGGAUAACUUCGGGAAACCGGAGCUAAUACCGGAUAAUAUUUUGAACCGCAUGGUUCAAAAGUGAAAGACGGUCUUGCUGUCACUUAUAGAUGGAUCCGCGCUGCAUUAGCUAGUUGGUAAGGUAACGGCUUACCAAGGCAACGAUGCAUAGCCGACCUGAGAGGGUGAUCGGCCACACUGGAACUGAGACACGGUCCAGACUCCUACGGGAGGCAGCAGUAGGGAAUCUUCCGCAAUGGGCGAAAGCCUGACGGAGCAACGCCGCGUGAGUGAUGAAGGUCUUCGGAUCGUAAAACUCUGUUAUUAGGGAAGAACAUAUGUGUAAGUAACUGUGCACAUCUUGACGGUACCUAAUCAGAAAGCCACGGCUAACUACGUG